rnacentral:lncRNA from 10 species
GGAGAUAUUUCUCAAAAGACUCCUCUGCGGGAGAGGAGAAUAGCUGUACUCUAAGCAGUUCGCAGGGAGCAUCUUUCAGCAGCUGAAACAGCUUUGCGGCCUUGCUGUAAUGAAGAUCUGCCAGCACCCGGUGUUGUUUCCUAAGGUGUUCAUCACCAACCUAGAACCAAACCAAAACAAGCAACAAAUCCUUCACGAGAAAGAAAGAAAACAACUGUGUAAGCAGACAUCAGUGUAAACCUUAGCACUGUCUCUUGAUGAGAUAAGAGGAGGAUGGCAGUGACAGGAGUGUGGUGGCGAGCCAGUCACCUGCAGUCAACCACGGCUCAUUGCUCUCACCAUGCCUGUUACAUGAAGUUUCAGGCAUCCACUGGGGAUCUUGGAACGCAUCCUCCAAGGAUAAGUGGGGUCUACUGUACAACACUUAAGUAUAACCCUCUUCACUAUUAACCAAAUGAUAUUAAAAUAAGCAAAGAAAAA